AUGGUUUCUUAUGCCAUUUUUUGUGCUUCAAAUUUAUGUUUGGAAUGCCAUUCCAGAGAUGGAUAUGUUUUUUCUCUUGAGAAUGUUGUGAAUCCUUUCCAACACUCUAGCCAGAUUGAUUUCAUCCUCUUGAGAAGAGAAGAUAGGCGUGCAUGCCUAGACUGUAAGGUGAUACCUGGAGAGAGUGUUGUACCUCAGCAUAAGCUGGUGGUUGCUGACUUCCGCUUUCGGAUCCGUGUCCAGCGAGAUAAGCGUGCCAAAGUCGCUAGAACGAAAUGGUGGAAGCUCAAGGUGGAGGUAGCUCGGGCGUUCAAGGAGAGGGUCAUUAAGGAGGGCCCUUGGGAGGAAGGAGGGGAUGCGGACAAUGUGUAG
rnacentral:rRNA from 1 species